CGACGUGUAAAUUUUUCUCUGAAUAAACGAAAAUCACGCAAGAGAAAGGCUGUGUAGAUACGCUGUGUGCUACCAGGACGAUGCGUUCACGGACUGGGGAAGGGGACACGCCUUCGGGAACAGCGUAGAAAGGAAAGCUUCGUUGGGAAAAUGAGUUUACCAACUUGGAAAGGAAAGAAAGACAAGGCAGGAUUCUGUUUUUGCCUUGGCUCAGCUUUCGCUUGCAGAGAACGAGAGACCAUCUUUAGAGAAAAAGGUUGCGUUCUAGGGUAUUUGGUUUCCAGCAACUUCAAAGAGAUGAGAUGUACUGAUACAUGUUGUUUCUGUUUUCGCGUGUAUAGGCCCCAAUCUCGGCGAAGAAGAUGAAUUCAAGGAACCAGGAAGGUUAUCUGCAGCAGUUUCUCACUUAUUUAGUUCUCUGGUGGACAUUCCCAGUGUCCCUAAGGAGCAAGAAACCUGAAGCCUACCCGGUAUCCCGCCCCCAGUGCAGCCGGAUGGCUUCACUUGCGUUGAUGGCUCGUCAGUUGGGUUAAUGCGCAUCUUUUACUCCUCUAUGUGCACGGUACACCGGAGGAGAUCGUCCAGCGAUGUCACGAGGAGUAUGUGACGUUUGUUGAACGAUGUACGCAUCUGAAAGGGCGUGGUUGUUGAGUCCGUGGGUAGGGUUUUGUUCGCUUACUCGUAACACAUCCAGCGUUGCUGGGUUUUCUAAUGCGACUGGCUCUCCAAAGGGAUCAGUGGCAUCCACCCAAAAGGUGGAUGCCAAGAGGGCCACACCUAGGGAAGAUUCCCGAAGCCAAUCUCUCCUGCGAGCUGCAGGCCGUACUGCUGCGCCACGCGCCAUAGGGGCUCGUCAGGAAAAAACACGGAAUCUUGCAUUACGCACUAUUGCUUGGAGACCGGGAGUGUAGCC
rnacentral:lncRNA from 1 species